GGGCGCUUGGCACAGUGGUAGCGCGCAUGCUUUGCACUUCGGUCUGUUUGCAUGAGGUCGAGGGUUCAAACCCCUCAGCGUCCA